rnacentral:rRNA from 1 species
UCAAGUGACUAAGUGCAUGUGGCGGAUGCCUUGGCGAUCACAGGCGAAGAAAGACGCGGCAGCCUGCGAAAAGCUGCGGGGAGCUGGCAAACGAGCUUUGAUCCGCAGAUAUCUGAAUGGGGGAACCCACACCGCAAGGUGUAUCCGUGACUGAAUACAUAGGUUACGGAGGCGAACGAGGAGAACUGAAACAUCUAAGUAUCCUCAGGAAAAGAAAUCAACCGAGAUUCCGGCAGUAGCGGCGAGCGAACCCGGAGGAGCCUAGCUUUUGAUAGUACGAACUUUAGCCGAAAGGUCCUGGAAAGGCCUGCUAUAGUGGGUGAUAGCCCCGUAGGCGAAAGAGUUCGUAUGGUACUAAGGAAGCGAGAAGUAGAGCGGGACACGUGGAAUCCUGUUCGAAGAUGGGGGGACCAUCCUCCAAGGCUAAAUACUCGUGAUCGACCGAUAGUGAACCAGUACCGUGAGGGAAAGGCGAAAAGAACCCCGGGAGGGGAGUGAAAUAGAACCUGAAACCGCAUGCAUACAAACAGUAGGAGCCUCACCAGAGGUGACUGCGUACCUUUUGCAUAAUGGGUCAGCGACUUACAUUCUGUGGCGAGCUUAACCGAAUAGGGGAGGCGCAGCGAAAGCGAGUUCGAAAUGAGCGUCCAGUCGCAGGGUGUAGACCCGAAACCAGAUGAGCUAUCCAUGGCCAGGUUGAAGGUGUGGUAACACACACUGGAGGACCGAACCGACUAGUGUUGCAAAAUUAGCGGAUGAGCUGUGGAUAGGGGUGAAAGGCCAAACAAAUCUGGAGAUAGCUGGUUCUCCCCGAAAACUAUUGAGGUAGUGCCUCGUGUGUCGCUCCAGGGGGUAGAGCACUGUUUUGGCUAGGGGGACAUGGAGUCUUACCAAACCAAGGCAAACUCCGAAUACCUGGAAGCGUAAGCACGGGAGACAGAGCACCGGGUGCUAACGUCCGGACUCAAAAGGGAAACAACCCAGACCGCCGGCUAAGGUCCCCAAUAACAGCUAAGUGGAAAACGAAGUGGAAAGGCCGUGACAACCAGGAAGUUGGCUUAGAAGCAGCCAUCCUUCAAAGAAAGCGUAAUAGCUCACUGGUCGAGUCCUUCUGCGCGGAAGAUGUAACGGGGCUAAGCUGUUAACCGAAGCCGCGGAUGCACUGGUUAUCCAGUGCGUGGUAGGGGAGCGUUCUGUAAGUCUGCGAAGGCGGUUCGAGAGGACUGCUGGAGAUAUCAGAAGUGCGAAUGCUGACAUGAGUAACGUUAAAGCAGGUGAAAAGCCUGCUCGCCGUAAGCCCAAGGAUUCCUGCUCUACGUUCAUCGGAGCAGGGUGAGUCGGCUCCUAAGGUCAGGCCGAAAGGCGUAGCCGAUGGGAAUCAGGUUAAUAUUCCUGAACCUGCGUCAGAUGCGAUGGGGGGACGGAGCAUGAAAGAUCAUCCGGGUGUUGGAUGUCCCGGUUGACGAGCGUAGGAGGUCUGCAGGCAAAUCCGCAGACGCAUCUCCAAGGCGAAGUCACGUGCCGCCACGGCGGCGAAGUGAUCGGAAGUGCUUCCAAGAAAAGCCUCUAAGCACCAGUCUGACGCGGACCGUACCGCAAACCGACACUGGUGGGCGAGCUGAAUAUGCUCAGGCGCUUGAGAGAACUCGGGAGAAGGAACUCGGCAAAUUGACACCGUAACUUCGGAAGAAGGUGUGCCGUAGUACCGUGAGAGGAGAGACACCUUGAGCGGGAAUCGGUCUCAGAGAAUAGGUGGCUGCGACUGUUUAUUAAAAACACAGCACUCUGCAAAGUCGAAAGACGACGUAUAGGGUGUGAUGCCUGCCCGGUGCUGGAAGAUUAAUUGAUGGGGUGAGAGCCCUUGAUCGAAGUCCCAGUAAACGGCGGCCGUAACUAUAACGGUCCUAAGGUAGCGAAAUUCCUUGUC